rnacentral:rRNA from 1 species
UGGGGAAUAUUGGACAAUGGGCGAAAGCCUGAUCCAGCCAUGCCGCGUGUGUGAAGAAGGUCUUCGGAUUGUAAAGCACUUUAAGUUGGGAGGAAGGGCAGUAAGCGAAUACCUUGCUGUUUUGACGUUACCGACAGAAUAAGCACCGGCUAACUCUGUGCCAGCAGCCGCGGUAAUACAGAGGGUGCAAGCGUUAAUCGGAAUUACUGGGCGUAAAGCGCGCGUAGGUGGUUCGUUAAGUUGAAUGUGAAAGCCCCGGGCUCAACCUGGGAACUGCAUCCACAACUGGCGAGCUAGAGUAGGGCAGAGGGUGGUGGAAUUUCCUGUGUAGCGGUGAAAUGCGUAGAUAUAGGAAGGAACAACAGUGGCGAAGGCGACCACCUGGGCUCAUACUGACACUGAGGUGCGAAAGCGUGGGGAGCAAACAGG